UUUCUACUCCCUCCGUCCGAAAAUACUUGUCAUCAAAAUGGAUAAAAAGAGAUGUAUCUAAAACUAAAAUACGUCUAGAUACAUUUCCUUUUAUCCAUUUUCAUGACAAGUAUUUCCGGACGGAGGGAGUAUUUG
rnacentral:pre_miRNA from 1 species